rnacentral:rRNA from 1 species
CCUACGGGGGGCAGCAGUGAGGAAUAUUGGUCAAUGGACGAGAGUCUGAACCAGCCAAGUCGCGUGAAGGAUGACUGCCCUAUGGGUUGUACACUUCUUUUAUAUGGGAAUAAAACAGGGUAUGCAUACCCUCUUUUAUGUACCAUAUGAAUAAGGAUCGGCUAACUCCGUGCCAGCAGCCGCGGUAAUACGGAGGAUCCGAGCGUUAUCCGGAUUUAUUGGGUUUAAAGGGAGCGUAGGUGGAUUGUUAAGUCAGUUGUGAAAGUUUGCGGCUCAACCGUAAAAUUGCAGUUGAAACUGGCAGUCUUGAGUACAGUAGAGGUGGGCGGAAUUCGUGGUGUAGCGGUGAAAUGCUUAGAUAUCACGAAGAACUCCGAUUGCGAAGGCAGCUCACUGGACUGCAACUGACACUGAUGCUCGAAAGUGUGGGUAUCAAACAGGAUUAGAUACCCGAGUAGUC